rnacentral:lncRNA from 1 species
CCAUUUUCUUUAUAACCUCCUAAAUGCGGAUCUACACACAUCAUCAAAUCAGAAUCAUGUGGGAAAGGACUAGGCAGAAUUGGAAUUUUCUCUUUGAACUUCCGAGUUCUGGGAGUGCUACUCUGCCAUCCUCCCCCCCCCACCACCCUCCAGGCUUGCUUUACACUUUCAUGGAAUUGCCGCUAAAAAAAGACAUUUAAGAGAGAUUUUGAUACCCGUAUGGUGUACAGCAGUGUGAAUGUACGUCAACUGACCCCUGAAAAAUGGACAGACGGUAUUCUCGGAGCAAACCAUGUGAAUCGCUGAAGUAAUCUUUAUCGAAUACUUCCAACGUGUUAGAUAGAUGUGCUUACCGUGAAUGACCUCAUUUAAACGUGAAGAUGGAAAAAGUGUCUGAGAAAGAGAAAGAGAUCUUUGCAAGAGCUAAAUUCAAAGGAUAUGCCCGAUAAUCCACUCUGGUCACUGCCUCAUUUCCUUCUUCUUAUUCAGAUUUACAGGGCAUGGAACAAAUCAGGAAAAAGGUCAUUUUCUUAUCACAUAAAUAUAGUCCUAGUGUUCCACACAUUCUGAAUACAGCUUGAAUUAAAAGCAAGUUUGGCAGGCUUCCAAAGUUUGAGAAUGUCGUUUGUUUGGAAUUACUUACAAAAUACUGAUAUUAAUAGUAAUGUAAUAUAUAUUCAUGAUUCAAAGAUUGAAAAAUGCAUUUCUGGAUACUCUGGUAUGUAUUUAUAUUGUUACCAGAAUAAAGAGUACAUUUUUUGUUCUAUUACAAAAUACCAAGUAACCCAUAACUCCCAGGUUUUGUUCACUAUGCUGCUUUGUUAAUGAUGAUAUAAAGCUGUGUUUUCACUCUGGCUGGGUGAAGUUCCACGGUAUAUUAAUCUAUUCAUAAAUAACAGUA